ensembl:lncRNA
GCAGAGACGGGAAGGGAACAGGGGAUGCAGCCCCGAACCCCAUGUCCUGGUGGUUGUCCAGCCAUGGGAUCACAGAAUCAGGGUGGCCCCGUGCCCGCAGCGAGCCCCGGCUCUGUCCCUUGGUCCCACCGCCCUGGGGACAGCCCUACGGCCAGGACACCGGCCUCAGCCACCAGCAGUGCACCCUGGUCCCCUGCUGACACCUGCGGGGAACAGGAGGCUGCCGAGACUUGAUUAGUCACAAGAAUGUUUAAUCCCCACCCCAAGCUGCUGGCUGCCUCUCCCAGAGGUGCCAGGGAUGAUACACAGAGCUGGGGGGUGAGGGCAGCUUACAUCCCACACCCCAAACGUCCCAUCCCACAUAAGGUAUCCCGCGUCCC